rnacentral:rRNA from 1 species
UACGUAGGGUCCGAGCGUUGUCCGGAAUUACUGGGCGUAAAGAGCUCGUAGGUGGUUUGUCGCGUUGUUCGUGAAAACUCACGGCUUAACUGUGGGCGUGCGGGCGAUACGGGCAGACUAGAGUACUGCAGGGGAGACUGGAAUUCCUGGUGUAGCGGUGAAAUGCGCAGAUAUCAGGAGGAACACCGGUGGCGAAGGCGGGUCUCUGGGCCGAUGACUGACGCUGAGGAGCGAAAGCGUGGGGAGCGAACAGG